rnacentral:misc_RNA from 1 species
GUAUUGUAUUGCGUUAAACGCGACAUGCAUUCCAUGAGACUUUGUUACGGCGUGUGUGUAAAGACGUAGGACCACAGCAAGGGGACGGGGUCCCCAAGGCCAUAGAACUACAGAGGGUGCACAGGUGUGAGUGGAUGUGCAAACAGAGCGUGCACGUGCCCCCUCUAGAGGGCCAGCAACAGCUCGUGUCGACAGUUCGGUAAUGAUCCUUCCGCAGGUUCACCUACGGAAA